GACGAACGCUGGCGGCGUGCUUAACACAUGCAAGUCGAACGAAGAGCGACGGAAGCUUGCUUCUAUCAAUCUUAGUGGCGAACGGGUGAGUAACGCGUAAUCAACCUGCCCUUCAGAGGGGGACGACAGUUGGAAACGACUUCUAAUACCGCAUCCGAUCUAAUCUCGGCAUCGAGGAUGGCUGAAAGGUGGCCUCUACAUGUAAGCUAUCACUGUAGGAGGGGGGUGAGUGUGCUUAGCUAGCUGGGGGGGUAACGGGCCACGAAGGCGUGGAUCAGUAGCCGGUCUGAGAGGCUGGACGGCCACAUUGGGACUGAGACGCGGCCCAGGCUCCUACGAGAGGCCGCAGUGGGGAAUCUUCCGCAAUGGACGGAAGUCUGACGGAGCAACGCCGCGUGAGUGAUGACGGCCUUCGGGUUGUAAAGCUCUGUUAAUCGGGACGAAAGGCUUUCUUGCGAAUAGUGAGGAGGAUUGACGGUACCUGCAGAGAAAGCCACGGCUAACUACGUG
rnacentral:rRNA from 1 species